rnacentral:lncRNA from 1 species
UCUCUUCUACCCUCACCUUCUUCGCCAACCCGAAAGUUGCAGCGCCUUCCCGCUCGUGGGCUUUCAGACUCUGGGCUAACAUCUGAGCCGCGUCCGCGCCCAUAUCCGCAACGAAGGAAGACCAGCACAGUCUAUAAACGGGGCCGCAGAAGCAGAGAACGUUUUGGGACUAACCCAAGCUGGUCUGAGGGAUGCGGGGAUACAGAGAUGAGGACGACUCAAUGGACGCCUAAGGCCAGGAAGGAAAGACCGAAGAAACUCCUGUGCAAAGUGAGAUCCCCGAAGGGGGGAGGCAAGUUUAAAUAGGCGAUGGGGUCCGAUGCAAUAAUGACUGCAGGACUCAGACCAGUCCGUAACCGCCGCGUGGCCCACUCACCGUGGCAAGUGGCUGGAGGUGGCCGACAAUUAGU